rnacentral:tRNA from 3 species
UGGCUACAUAGCUCAGUUGGUUAGAGCAUAGCAUUCAUAAUGCUGGGGUCCGGGGUUCAAGUCCCUGUGUAGCCACCAA